AUUGAACGCUGGCGGCAGGCUUAACACAUGCAAGUCGAGCGGGGGAAGGUAGCUUGCUACCGGACCUAGCGGCGGACGGGUGAGUAAUGCUUAGGAAUCUGCCUAUUAGUGGGGGACAACAUCUCGAAAGGGAUGCUAAUACCGCAUACGUCCUACGGGAGAAAGCAGGGGAUCUUCGGACCUUGCGCUAAUAGAUGAGCCUAAGUCGGAUUAGCUAGUUGGUGGGGUAAAGGCCUACCAAGGCGACGAUCUGUAGCGGGUCUGAGAGGAUGAUCCGCCAAACUGGGACUGGAACACGGCCCAGACUCCUACGGGAGGCAGCAGUGGGGAAUAUUGGACAAUGGGGGGAACCCUGAUCCAGCCAUGCCGCGUGUGUGAAGAAGGCCUUAUGGUUGUAAAGCACUUUAAGCGAGGAGGAGGCUACUUUAGUUAAUACCUAGAGAUAGUGGACGUUACUCGCAGAAUAAGCACCGGCUAACUCUGUGCCAGCAGCCGCAGUAA
rnacentral:rRNA from 1 species